rnacentral:rRNA from 1 species
UUACGUCGGCGAUGGUCAUUCAUUCUGCCCUAUCAAGUUUCGAUGGUAGGAUAGAGGGCCUACCAUGCUUGUACGGGUAACGGCGAAUUAGGGUUCGAUUCCGGAGAGGGAGCCUGAGAAACGGCUACCACAUCUAAGGAAGGCAGCAGGCGCGCAAAUUACCCAAUCCUGAUUCAGGGAGGUAGUGACAAUAAAUAACAAUCCAGGACUUCGGUCUUGGAAUUGGAAUGAGAACAAUUUAAAUCUCUUAUCGAGGAACAAUUGGAGGGCAAGUCUGGUGCCAGCAGCCGCGGUAAUUCCAGCUCCAAUAGCGUAUAUUAAAGUUGUUGCAGUUAAAUAGCUCGUAGUUGAAUCUUGGGGCUGGUUUGGCGGUCGCGUCUUUGACGUGUACUGUCGGCCGGUUCUUUUACUUGUGGGGAACGUAUGUGCCCUUUGCGGGGUGUGUACGGGAACCAUGGCUGUUACUUUGAAAAAAUUAGAGUGUUUAAAGCGGGCGUAAGCUUGUGUACAUUAGCAUGGAAUAAUAGAAUAGGACUUUGGUUUAUUUGUGGUUUCUAGGGCCGAAGUAAUGAUUAAUAGGGAUAGGUUGGGG